AAAUUAUAAUUAAAAAUAUUAGAGUAGUAAUAGUUAUAGUCUUGAAACUUAAAAAAUUUGGCGGUAUUUUAGUCUAUUCAGAGGAACCUGUAGUAUAAUCGAUAAUCCACGAUGGAUCUUACUUAUUUUUGUUUUUCAGUUUGUAUAUCGCCGUUAUUUGAAAAUUUUAUAAGAAUAAUAAUUUUCAAGAUUUUUUAUUAAAAAGUAAAUCAGGUCAAGGUGCAGCAUAUAAAUAAGUAUUUUAUGGGUUACAAUAAAUUUAUUUAUUACGGAUUAGACAAUGAAAUUUGUUUAUAAAGGAGGAUUUGAAAGUAAAUUUUUAUAGAUUAUAAAAUUGAUU
rnacentral:rRNA from 1 species